UAGGAAAUUGCUGGACAGGCGGACCAGCGCACCGGAAUUGUACUGGCGAAGCCACAAGCAACUCAAAGAAUCUGUUUAAUUGUUGCACUUUGAACAAACAUGCAUCUACAAAGGCCACAGCAGAAAAACAGCCUGAUGCCGAGUAUUUCUGCGCCACGAAGUAAUCAAGAGGCGAGUGCCUAAUGCGGACGAAAUCGAGUGCAUCGAGACUUUGAACGACAGAAAGCUGAGCUAGUUGAUAUGCAAUGGCAAGCCCUUCCGUGUGUUCCAAAGACAAUGCCUACGCCUAGCCACAGCAGCUCCCUCAUACAGACUGCGCAAGCCAAGAGGCCGUGGAGGCAAAUGCAGGUAAGAGGCAAGAAGCAAUAGCGCUGGUAUCGACAUUCAUCUAAUUUCUUUCUUUUUCUUUCGUUUAGGCAGC